ACCAUUACUGGAAGCAUAUCUGUUAUGCUGUGAACAGCAGGAGAAUGACAACACAGCUGCAUGAGCAAUUUUGGAAAGAGGGUCAUAUUACUUGUGCCCCAUUUACAGGGAGGUUAACAAUGCAGAACGUUGUUUGACAGCCUUGUGAAGCCAGCAAGAAACUGGCAUGGUUUUUUUCUGCAUGAUCUGUCAAACACUUCUCCGUGAGAAUUCCAGUAACAGAUCUGUCAAACACUUCUCCGUGAGAAUUCCAGUAACAGGGCUCAAAUUCAUCAGCAGGAGACACGCGAGUGCCAGAAGAAAAGAUCAUGUGCAAGAGGAGCUUGUUAGUUACCGGACCAUAGAUAACAGUAUUUCAUAUGCUGGGCCCAUCAUUUAAAUAAUAGGUUUGAUGAGCUGAGGAAUUGGGUGCACAAUCAUUCAAAAGAAAGAUCCUUCCCUGGCCCUAAGAGAAUCUCCAUGACAACAGCCGCAUCAUAGAGAAUUUGGCAGUGAUGAGAAAUACGAUCACGUGAUAUGAAGGAGGAGUGUCUGGAGAUAUACUGUACUUGAAUACACCAAUACACAGCACCCGCUGAGUAGGAAGAAAGGAGGAUCCGCUUGACAGCGGCAUUGCAUCAUCACAAACGGAGACCAUGUGACAAAUACAUAGAAAUACGGGACGGGGACUUUACAGUCACGUGAUCGCGAUCACAUGAACAUUGAGGGGAUGCGCUGUGAUUGGGGUUGCUAAGCAAACAAUGUAUGUAGUUAGGAAAUGGUCCUGGUCCUUAAUGAUCACAGACUCUUAGGUGAAUCUUUGUAUAGGGAUCAGCUGUGCUGGGACCAAUAGGAUCCAGAGGGUGGAAAUAAAACAGGAAGAUCAGCGCUUGUAAGACAUCCACUUUAAAGCAGACCUUGAGAAAGACCCGAGGAGGGUUGGAACGCAUGGGUGUCCUGCUUUUAUGACCCCCUACAUGCUGAUACUGAUGCCUAUGGACUGAGCACAUACCCGGAGAAGUACUGAGACCAGGAGAUCCCCUUGCUGCAGCUGGGAGAGGCCAUCUGGAUUUUCUUGCGCUUUAGAACUGACGCAAGCCAGUUCACUGGGAACCGGUAAUCAGCCAUUACUUCUGUUUCUCCAUGAGGGUGGACACACCAGCAUAAUUUUUAUUAGACAUCAUUGUGUAUGUCUGUUUUA